rnacentral:rRNA from 1 species
AACAGGGGGUGCAAACGUUGCUCGGAAUCACUGGGCGUAAAGCGCACGUAGGCGGAUGUGUCAGUCAGGGGUGAAAUCCCGGGGCUCAACCUCGGAACUGCCUUUGAUACAGCACGUCUCGAGUCCGGAAGAGGUGGGUGGAAUUCCUAGUGUAGAGGUGAAAUUCGUAGAUAUUAGGAAGAACACCGGUGGCGAAGGCGGCCCACUGGUCCGGUACUGACGCUGAGGUGCGAAAGCGUGGGGAGCAAACAGG